rnacentral:rRNA from 1 species
UACGGGGGGAGCAAGCGUUGUUCGGAUUUACUGGGCGUAAAGGGCGCGUAGGCGGCGCAACAAGUCACUUGUGAAAUCUCCGGGCUUAACCCGGAGCGGCCAAGUGAUACUGUCGUGCUAGAGUGCGGAAGGGGCUACUGGAAUUCUCGGUGUAGCGGUGAAAUGCGUAGAUAUCGAGAGGAACACCUGCGGCGAAGGCGGGUUGCUGGGCCGACACUGACGCUGAUGCGCGAAAGCCAGGGGAGCGAAGCGGG